rnacentral:rRNA from 1 species
AAGCCCUUCGGGGUGGAUUAGUGGCGAACGGGUGAGUAACACGUGGGCAAUCUGCCCUGCACUCUGGGACAAGCCCUGGAAACGGGGUCUAAUACCGGAUAACACCCCCUCUCGCAUGGGAGGGGGUUGAAAGCUCCGGCGGUGCAGGAUGAGCCCGCGGCCUAUCAGCUUGUUGGUGAGGUAGAAGCUCACCAAGGCGACGACGGGUAGCCGGCCUGAGAGGGCGACCGGCCACACUGGGACUGAGACACGGCCCAGACUCCUACGGGAGGCAGCAGUGGGGAAUAUUGCACAAUGGGCGAAAGCCUGAUGCAGCGACGCCGCGUGAGGGAUGACGGCCUUCGGGUUGUAAACCUCUUUCAGCAGGGAAGAAGCGAAAGUGACGGUACCUGCAGAAGAAGCGCCGGCUAACUACGUGCCAGCAGCCGCGGUAAUACGUAGGGCGCAAGCGUUGUCCGGAAUUAUUGGGCGUAAAGAGCUCGUAGGCGGCUUGUCACGUCGGUUGUGAAAGCCCGGGGCUUAACCCCGGGUCUGCAGUCGAUACGGGCAGGCUAGAGUGUGGUAGGGGAGAUCGGAAUUCCUGGUGUAGCGGUGAAAUGCGCAGAUAUCAGGAGGAACACCGGUGGCGAAGGCGGAUCUCUGGGCCAUUACUGACGCUGAGGAGCGAAAGCGUGGGGAGCGAACAGGAUUAGAUACCCUGGUAGUCCACGCCGUAAACGGUGGGAACUAGGUGUUGGCGACAUUCCACGUCGUCGGUGCCGCAGCUAACGCAUUAAGUUCCCCGCCUGGGGAGUACGGCCGCAAGGCUAAAACUCAARGGAAUUGACGGGGGCCCGCACAAGCAGCGGAGCAUGUGGCUUWAUUCGACGCAACGCGAAGAACCUUACCAAGGCUUGACAUAUACCGGAAAGCAUCAGAGAUGGUGCCCCCCUUGUGGUCGGUAUACAGGUGGUGCAUGGCUGUCGUCAGCUCGUGUCGUGAGAUGUUGGGUUAAGUCCCGCAACGAGCGCAACCCUUGUUCUGUGUUGCCAGCAUGCCCUUCGGGGUGAUGGGGACUCACAGGAGACUGCCGGGGUCAACUCGGAGGAAGGUGGGGACGACGUCAAGUCAUCAUGCCCCUUAUGUCUUGGGCUGCACACGUGCUACAAUGGCAGGUACAAUGAGCUGCGAUGCCGCGAGGCGGAGCGAAUCUCAAAAAGCCUGUCUCAGUUCGGAUUGGGGUCUGCAACUCGACCCCAUGAAGUCGGAGUUGCUAGUAAUCGCAGAUCAGCAUUGCUGCGGUGAAUACGUUCCCGGGCCUUGUACACACCGCCCGUCACGUCACGAAAGUCGGUAACACCCGAAGCCGGUGGCCCAACCCCCUUGUGGGGAGGGAGCUGUCGAAGGUGGGACUGGCGAUUGG